rnacentral:tRNA from 1 species
GGCCCCAUGCUGUGAAGAUUAACACUCUGGUCUCUGAAUCCAGCGAUCUAAGUUCAAAUCUCAGUGGAACCA